CCGACCGCCUCUGGUCCCUCGACCCCGACGGGGUCAAGAAACCCGUCACAACUUAUGAUGGCAACUCUACCCCCUUGACCGGUGUCAUCCCGUUUAGCUACUUCAAAAUUCUCAGACAGGACGUGCUCACCGGCUGGUUCCGUUAUUAAAUCCCUGUUGUUGAAGGAAUACUCCCUCGAGCCCCCUUCGAAGCUGUGGGAACCCUCAGUGGCAGUUCGGCAGCCGCUGAACUUGCAGGCCACUGUUUCCCCCCUCCUACUCCUCUUGAUCCAUAGCAUCCUCUCGAGAUUGACCUCCGGGAUAGAAGCCCCGACGGGAGAACUCCUUGAAAGGGCUUGGAAGACUGAAGGCGGUGGGGAGCCGGCGGAGAUGGCGAAGAUUGGCGCGAAGAAUGCUUAGGGUCGAAAAGGGCACCGAUGGGUGGCUAAACUCUCAGGC
rnacentral:lncRNA from 1 species